rnacentral:rRNA from 1 species
AGAGUUUGAUCAUGGCUCAGAUUGAACGCUGGCGGAAUGCUUUACACAUGCAAGUCGAGCGGCAGCGCGGGGCAACCUGGCGGCGAGCGGCGAACGGGUGAGUAAUGCAUCGGAACAUGUCCAUGUCGUGGGGGAUAGCCCGGCGAAAGCCGGAUUAAUACCGCAUACGCCCGAGAGGGGAAAGUGGGGGACCGCAAGGCCUCACGCGAUUGGGUUGGCCGAUGUCCGAUUAGCUAGUUGGCGGGGUAAAGGCCCACCAAGGCGAUGAUCGGUAGCUGGUCUGAGAGGAUGAUCAGCCACACUGGGACUGAGACACGGCCCAGACUCCUACGGGAGGCAGCAGUGGGGAAUUUUGGACAAUGGGGGAAACCCUGAUCCAGCCAUUCCGCGUGAGUGAAGAAGGCCUUCGGGUUGUAAAGCUCUUUUGUCCGGAACGAAAAGGCUACGUUUAAUACGCGUGGCUCAUGACGGUACCGGAAGAAUAAGCACCGGCUAACUACGUGCCAGCAGCCGCGGUAAUACGUAGGGUGCGAGCGUUAAUCGGAAUUACUGGGCGUAAAGCGUGCGCAGGCGGUUUUGUAAGCCAGAUGUGAAAUCCCCGGGCUCAACCUGGGAAUGGCAUUUGGGACUGCAAGGCUGGAGUUUGGCAGAGGAGACUGGAAUUCCUGGUGUAGCAGUGAAAUGCGUAGAUAUCAGGAGGAAUACCGAUGGCGAAGGCAGGUCUCUGGGCUAUAACUGACGCUCAUGCACGAAAGCGUGGGGAGCAAACAGGAUUAGAUACCCUAGUAGUCC